AAUUUGAACAAAUUUGUUUCUGUAGCUGCUUUCUCCCAAGAACUGCCUUUCAUAUUUGGGGUGCUGUUUUUUUCUUCUUCCAAGAGCUACUCAGUUAAAACCUAUUGAAUUGAUCUAUUUUUCUACUGAAGGACAACAACGGUAAGUGAGAAACAUACGGUUUGGGGGGGGCUGGGGGGGGAGUUGUUUUGCAAAUAUUUGUCAGCAAAUGGCAAGGGACUUGCUAAGAACAUAGGAACCUGCAGUACCUUUUUAUAUUUUAACAGGGUGUGUAAAUGGAAGUUUUCUCUCACUGACCAUCUUAAAAUCCCAUAGGGAAAGAAGGAAAACUCUCUUAAGAGCUGUUAAGCUUCCUAGCAUAUACAAAAAAUAAAAAAUAAAAAAUCCAAACUAAACUAAAAUGGAUAGUUUAAUCUACGGCACUAAUUACACAAGAUACUGGAGAAUGGAUCUACUCCCUUUUUGUGGGAUUCACAAAACUGUUUUGUGCUUGUUGUACUCCUGCCACAUGUGAAAAAGGAUAAUUGAAAAUCAUUCAGAUUCUUUGCUCAACAAUCAGGUAUAUUAUUUGCUUUAGGUUAAGUGUGUUCUCAAACCCUGAACACGGCCUAAAUUAUCUGGGGCAAGGGGAUUUUAAUAUCUCCCAAGGAAUCACACUUAUUGAAGGGGACAGCCUAUAAAUUAGUGCUGAAGUUAAAAUCAAUUUCUGGAUAAUAUGUAUCCCACAAAGACAGAUUGUUGGUUUGCAUGAGCAUUGUAUCAAAACUUUAAUUAAAGCCCCCUUUAAAUAAAACCUGUCGUACAUUAUACCACUAAUUGACUUGACCAGCUAUGAUGCCAACUCUGCAAGCCAGAGAAGGCUAAAGGAGAUUAUUCUGUCUGUCUCUCUCUGUCUGCUGCUUCAACAGCAGCAGCAGCAGUAGCAAAUGUGUGUUAAUAAAAUUUAUUUCUGCAGUCGUACCCAACUCCCUAUUGUGUAUUCAAUAAAUGUGUGGGCUUGAAGCCAGUCAUCACAAAGCAAAAAAGUAAUAAAAUCUCAAAAGACACCCCUCCAUACGCACACCUUCCAUUCUGUCAGCUUUUUGUGGCAGAAGAUACAUGGGUCGUUUUGCUUUUGCACAAGCUGAGGCUGGCUUUAGUUUUCUAUUAAUUUUUUUAAAAAGGAAGGAGAAAGUAUUUUUAAAGCAACAGUGUAAAAAACAAGAGAGCAUAAAGUCAAACCUGUGCAUAAUCAAGCCUUCCGGUAGCAAAGACAGUGUUGCAGUUAAAGGGUGCUAGAGAGGCUAGGCAACUGUGAAUGAUAUAGAAGGCCCAUACUCCUCAUCCUGAGCGUCACUGAACGACUAAGACCACUGUCCGUAGUGUGCAUGUUCCAGCUUUUCAAUUCAAUGCACCUGUGAUCAGGCCCAGUCCACCUGUGCAGCAAGAUGAGGUGACCACCUCAGAUGGCAGCAGAUCCCAAUGCCAAUCUUUCUUUCUCCCCCAUCCUAUUUGUUCCUGAUGUAAAUCUUACAUGUGCUAAAAGCUUAGGCAUAGAGUAAGAGCCUGGCUGUGCUUAUUUACUCAAAAUUAAGUCUCCCAGAUCUAAAUGGGAGUCACCCAUAUGAACCUUGCCUGUACAUGGGAAGCUUUUCUUCAUGUCCUGAAAUCAGCAGUAUGGUUGGUGGGGACAGAGGGCAGAGACUUUUCUGUGGCAGCACCUUUCGUUAGGCAACUCCCUGCUUAGGGAGGCCUACCUUGCCUCUUCCUUGAUUUUUUGUUUUUGUUUUGCUGCUUCCUGAAUAUCUUUUUUUUAUUUUACAUUGCUCAACAAGCCUGAGGAGCAGAUCAUGUUUUAUAUUUCCUUGAUUUUGUUUGGUAAAAUUUAACUGUUGUGUCUCUUUUUAAAUAGCUUUGACUCUUUUUUGUCUGUGGAAUGAAUACUCAAAGUAGCCUACAGUAGAAAACUGAAACAAUUGAGCUGAAAAGUAGGAGAUACAUAUUUGAGUAUUACUAUAAUUAUUAAUUAGAUUUGUAUGCCUCCUCCAUUCAUCCUGAAGAUUGCAGGUUAGCUAACAACAGAAAGUUAGAUCAAUGAAUAUUUCCAAGUAAGUGUACAGAGGAUUGCUGCCUAACCCUUACUAUAACAGCACAGAUUUUAUAUAGCAUGAUAUUUGUUCAAGCAAAUCACAGGGAUCAUUCUCCUUUGUUUACACAUCUUUGACAUAGGUUUACUCCAAUGAGAUGAUAUGAUUUUUAUAGACACACAACUUCACGUAUUUUACAAAGUAAGAUAAACUUUUUAACGAAGAUAAUAAGUUAGGUGGGCACAAGAAUGGCCCCAGUGGUACUCCAGAUAUGAGUCCUGCGGGUGUAUGGGUCCCCACCUUGCCAUCCCAUGCAUAGACUGACUUCCUACCCCUUUGUCCUUUGCCGCAUGCAUAUAAAACUAUUUCCCCCAUACGUCAAAAUGUAGAUUUUUUUUUACUGUCCACAAUGCUUGCAUUUAGAUUCUCCAUAAUACUUUCAUUACGGUUGAGCAGUGCCUAUUGAGAGCGAGAGAUGUGCAGACGCGGUGGGUUUUGCAGGGCAGGAAACAACAUGAAGAGGCCGCUGCAGCCAGUGAGGCAUGUGGAGGUUGCACAUGCUUGGAGCAGGGCGAGCGACACCGUGAGCGUCACUGUGAGCCUGCGCCCAGACUCUCUUCCUUUUCAGGCACAGGAUUGGAAGUGUUUGCAGGCCAGGCUCCAGUGGAUUGAGUGGACGAGACUAAGAGUGGGUCCAAUGGUCAAGAUGGUGGCUUCUGCAUGUGCUGUAGAUAGAAGAGAGGAGCAGGUGACACUCAUCAACUUGGGAAGUUAGCCCAUCUGAGAGAAGGAAAAUUCUGAUCCUAAACCUCUACUAGUAAAGGUAAAGGGACCCCUGACUAUUAGGUCCAGUUGUGUCCGACUCUGGGGUUGCGGCACUCAUCUCGCUUUAUUGGCCAAGGGAGGCGGCGUACAGCUUCCGGGUCAUGUGGCCAGCAUGAUUAAGCCGCUUCUGGUGAACCAGAGCAGCGCACGGAAAUGCCGUUUACCUUCCCGCCGGAGUGGUACCUAUUUAUCUACUUGCACUUUGACGUGCUUUCAAACUGCUAAGUUGGCAGGAGCAGGGACCGAGCAACGGGAGCUCACCCCGUCGUGGGAAUUCGAACCGCCGACCUUCUGAUCGGCAAGCCCUAGGCUCUGUGGUUUAACCCACAGCGCCACCCUCGUCCCUUAAACCUCCACUACCUUGCAGGAUAUAUUGGGGAGAAGAAAAGGCUCAGGAGUAAACCUUACACAAAUCUGGAGUGGAGUCCCUAAGACAGUUGGAUGGCGUCUUGUACGUCUACUUCUGGCAACUCUUGCAGUCAAGCUGGUGCCAAAUUUAUUGCUCUGCUUUCCUUUGGACCACAUUAGCAAGGCUGAGAGAGGGGGUCUUUUUUCUGGGCAGCCCAGGACCAGACACACUGCCCUGGAGAAGUUGCUUCACUGCUGCAGCAAAAACAAUGCAAGAAGCAGCAGUUAGGACUUACCAGUCUCUGAAGCUACAGAGAGUGCCAUGAUUUUCCAGCAGUCUGACUUCACCCCUGGAGGCAUACUCCAUUGUCUCUUGAGACAGAUGGAUGCCAAGGACAACAACAAUCUGUUUUAAUCUUCACUGCUUAAGAAGAGGAAGGUUGCAAAAAAUUAAAAAAAAGGCAAACCAGUUUCCUCUGUUAAGUAGAUAGCCCAGCAUAUUUCCGUUUGCUUGGGAGAAUUGGUUGGCCAAGUAUAGGUGAUUUGUUGCCAAAGAAGCCAAUGAUUAGAGAUGCUGUUAGCAAUUAAUCAAUAAGGUGCCCCAAUAUGUUUGAUCCUGUUGAAUUUGAGAACCUCACCCUUUUAAGCAUGCAUACUAAACACUCUCCAUCGCUGUGAUCGUACAGCUCUAAAGAUCCGAGUCCACAGAAGAGAAGGAUUUGCAAAACGUGGUCCAAGCAGUUGUUUUUGUCAAAUAGAUAGCCUAGCACAUUCCCCUUUUUCUGGGAAAACGGGCCUUUCCAUAACUAAAGAGUUAGCGAGGUAUAGGUAAUUUGUUGUCAUAGCAGCUGAAUGUCAGAGUGCCAUUUUGAAGCAAUAGCGUCAGCAUACAAAUUAAAACUUCCUGUUUUGCAGAGUCAAAAACCAUUCAUUAAUUUACCUUGAAACUGAUGGAACAAUUUGUUUGUUCUGGGUGGGCUUUUGGGUGCUGGAACACCCUGAAUCUGUGCAUAAAGGCUAAAUUGGAUUCUGCAAACCCCCCCCCCCAUCUCCUGUCUUCAACUUAUCUUAUGUAGAAGCUUUCGAUUCUUCAUAGUCAUUACUGGCUUGCCCAGGAGGACUCACCUGCUUGAGUGCCUAAGGGCCGGUUCCUGUCACUCACCUCCUGGCUCAGGGCAGGGCCUGACAGGCCUCAUAAGGAGUGUUGCCGCUGCUGCUGCUGCCCAGGAGGACUCAGAACAGCGCAGAGUUCUUUUAAAAAUGUGGAGGACUCCCUGGUCCUGAAUGGGGUAACUGUGCCCCUGAAGGACCAAGUGCGCUGCCUGGGAGUCUUUCUGGACUCACAGCUGUCCAUGGAGGCACAGGUCAAUUCUGUGUCCAGGGCAGCUGUUUAUCAGCUCGCUGUUUACCUCCCUGCAGACUGUCUCGCCAGAGUGGUGCAUGCUCUAGUUAUCCCUCGCUUGGACUACUGCAAUGCGCUCUGUGUGGGGCUACCUUUGAAGGUGACCCGGAAACUACAACUAAUCCAGAAUGCGGCAGCUAGACUGGUGACUGGGAGCGGCCACCGAGACCAUAUAACAUCCGUCUUGAAAGAUCUACACUGGCUCCCAGUACAUUUCCGAACACUAUUCAAAGUGUUGGUGCUGACCUUUAAAGCCCUAAACAGCCUCGGUCCUGUAUACCUGAAGGAGCGUCUCCACUCCUAUCGUUCUGCCUGGAGACUGAGGUCCAGCGCCGAGGGCCUUCUGGCGGUUCCCUCGCUGUGAGAAGCCAAGUUACAGGGAACCAGGCAGAGGGCCUUCUCGGUAGUGGCACCUGCCCUAUCGAACGCCCUCUUACCAGAUGUCAAAGAGAAAAACAACUACCAGACUUUUAGAAGACAUCCAAAGGCAGCCCUUUUUAGGGAAGCUUUUAAUGUUUAAUAGGUUAUUGUAUUUUAAUAUUCUGUUGGAAGCCACCCAGAGUAGCUGGAGAAACCCAGCCAGAUGGGCUGGGUACAAAUAAUAAAUUAUUAUGAGGUGCUUUCAUCUAGGGAGGCAGGUUCAGCAAGCACAUAAUCCCGAGAAGAGUCUAGAUCACAGUUUCCCAAACUUGUGUCUCCAGCUGUUUUGGAUUACAAUUCCCAUCAUCCCUGAACACUGGGUCUGCUGGCUAGGGAUGGUAGGAGUUGUAGUCCAAAAAGAACUGGUGAUCCAAGUUUGGUCUAGAUCCUUGUUUGGUGCUUUAGGCCCCUACACUGGUUUCUGAUACUUGUCCUGCUGUUCCUAAUUUAUCCCAAGUCCCAGCAACUUUGUUACCUCUGCGACAAGCAAUUAAUUAAGAAAUGUAAAAUCUUCCCUGUUGUGAGUCUACCUAUGUUACAUCCAUGAAAUGGUCUGAGUAGAACAGGGUUGUAGCUAAUGAAAAAUUCAUUGACCCCGAGGUAACAGUGAACAAAAUGCAGAUUUUAAAUAUAAGGAGCUGGUUCACAGUGUGUCCCUAGGACAGGGGGGGAAAGAGCGAAACAAUUUGCUUGCCAAAACAGUGAACUGUUAAAGUGGCAGACAAAGUUUUAUUCAUCUGCAAGCUCAGCAGAUGUGAAGGCAUGAAUAGACUGAUUGAUUUCAGAAUUCUCUGGGUGAGAAUGAAGAUCCAAUAUAGCAUCUUUGAAGGUCUGUGAGAUAAUCUUAAGUUUGGAACCAAAAUAUAUCAGCAUGAUAUCAUUUUCUGACACAAUUCCUUCUAAGUAUGGAUUCCCUUUUGUGUCAUCUCCCCCAUUUUCCUUGUUAUCUUUUUUUCCGGGGGCGGGGGGGGGGGGAGAGAAGGCAAUAACAAAAUAACUUGCUGCUUUUAAUUGCCUUCUGAUUUCUCGAUGGUAUGUUGUUUAAUGGCUUUAUAGAUUAUCUAAAGCAAUUCUAUCGUAAGCCAAUCUGUAGCCGGGGCUGGAGCAAAGACAGAUUACAAACAUUUAAAAAUAAAUGAAUGCAUAAAUAAAUAAAUGGUCAUUUCACUGAAUUCUUGCUACUGGGUAGGCAAGCAUUUUACUACACUAUUUGUUCUGGCUUAUUAUUUAUUUUAUUUCUUUCUUUCUCUGGGUCUAAGACUUCUUGGAAUAAUCAAUGAUUUGCAAUAUCUCCCCCACCCCCCAAAGAGAGUAAAAGCAACUGGCAGAAGGGAACUCUUUGAAGUUGGUGAAGUUGGUCCUUUGCCAACACCCCCUCUUGGGUGGAGCCACAUAGAGGAAUAAGGAAGGGUGGUGGGGAAGGAAGGGAAACCUAUUAUAACUCCUCCCUGCUAAUCUCCCACAAGUGUGCGCUCUGAGAGAGGAAAUAUCUGCUAAAUGCCUUAGGGAGAGCAAUGAUCUGGACAGUGUUGCAGGAAGCAAAGUGAGAACAGGCAAAGCUAGAGGAGGACACAUUUGGCGCUGUUCAGGAGGGAUCCUGGGCUUACAGUAUGGAAACCUUGCUGUGCAAUUCUCCACACAAAACCCUUUUGUAAAUUCAGCAUCACUUCACGUGGUGCAGGCAGAUUCAGCCAAAGAAUGAAUGGUUUUUUUUCUUCGUAGAACAAACUGAUGAUCUACGGAACUCACUGACACUGGAAGUCAACUGUCAACAAGCUUAUUGAGAGGCUAUUCAUUUACGUGAGUGGUUUUUACCCUGCUGUUCAGCUGGAAAAAGGCUCCCGCAGAGGCUUACAGAGAUCAAGGAUAAGACAUUCCUUGCACUUCAGCUCACAGUAAAAAAGACAGACACACAAAGGGAGGGGCUGGAGAGGGAUGCAGGGAGAAAGACCAAACUCAGACACUUAUAAUGAACAGCUAGAAUGGGGACAGUUCAAGAGGAGGAGCCAAAAGUUGUUGGUCCCUCAGAAAAAGCCGUGGCUGCUUCCUUAUUUUGCCCUUUGCUGGUGCUGAAGGAAUCGCUGGCCCUAGGCGGCUGAGGAAGGGACUGACUUCCCUUCUCUCCCUCUGUACAAAUUGACAAUUUUGAGUUAAAAUUGCCAGUGUAAUCCAUCCAUCUCAAGAUAAGCACGAACGUUUUAUUGCUGGAAGAAAUUAACGAGAGGAAGCAGAACCCCCUUUCAGUAGCUAACUUUGGAAGGUUGGCUGGGCAGUGGAAUGAAUGAUGGUGGCAGAGGUUGCCAAUGAACCAACACCACCCUUUCACGUGAGCUGCUGCCAAAUCCCACUGCUCACUCACACUCUUCCCCCCCCCCCACCGCUCAGAGUUGACAACUGUUAGGUUUUUCUGCCUUCCUUGGGCUGCUCUACCUCCUGACAGCCAUUUAAUUGGCUGUCAUUGGCAGGACGGUUUGUUCUGGUAGCCACAGCUUCAGCUGGUAACCCAUGUUAAAUGGAGAUGGCCCCAUGUAUUGGGAGCCCUGGGACUGCUGUAUCUUAUAAACUGCUGGACUGUUCCUGGAGGGGCUAGAAAGGACUGCGGGGUAGCAGCCUACAUUUGUGGACUGCACACAGGAGCAGGGCCUCCCAGGGACGUAGCAUGGGUUGCCAGUGCCUGGGGUGGGGCAGAUGUUGCACCCCCUAGUGGACUGGGCAGCGGUCAGUCCCUUCCCUUGCCAGGGUGUCUCUCCUUGCAAACUAGUCCCAACCUGGGAGCAGAGAUAAGGCAGAGAAACAUGAAUUUCCAGAGCUCCACUGUAUUGUCUCACUCUCUAAUCCUUGCAUCGAAGCUCUCUGGGCAACACAUGCAGCUCCGGCAGUACUUUCCUGCCUUCCUUCCCUCCCUCCCUCUCAGCUGACCCAGGGGUGUGCAUGGGUGUCCCUUCACUGGCCACAAGAAAGAGGCACUGCGCCAGCCCCGAAGGCCUGGCCCAGGCAUGGCUUGCCUCCCUUCAGCUCUGACGUCAAUGAGGGAGCCUGUUAUGGAGGUGCCUGGUUGCACCCUCUCAGAAAUUUGUGCCCGGUGCCAUGUCCCCCAUGGCCCCCCACGCUACACUACUGGGACUUCCCCUUUGGUUAAGGUGUCUGAAUUCCAAGGAGGAAACAGGCAUACAGCAGUGCACUACCUGCAGUACAGUAAACACUGCGCAAGCAUGCAGGUCCCAUGUUAUGGGGAGAAGGACAAAAGUGACCAGAAUCUGGACGCUGUGUCCCAAGCACCAGUUCUUCACCAUGAAGCCUUUUGGCUUUGCUUUGCUCAGCUUGAGCAGCACAAGAAAGACUUGUCCAACAGUUAUGCAACAUCAUGAUGAACAGCUAUGCUAAACCCUCCAGAAUUAUUCUGCAUUGGGCUCUCUGUUAGCAAUGUGAUUUGCAUCUAUACAUAAACAUCUAAUGUUCCUUUCUUUGCUGUUGUCUGCUCUGUUGCAUCUCAGCCACAUAAUGUACUAACACUUUGCCCCUAGCCAAGGCAAAUAAAGACAAAACUAUGCGUCUUUAGCAUAUUUCCAUUUUAACUGUUGAUUUCAAUAUUUCCAGGGGGAGGCUCAGAAAGAUAUGCAACAGAAUGAGAAAGCAGAUCCUUGAAGAAGAAGAAGAAGAAAAAGACAAAAGUGGAAGCAUUUUUGUGAUGUAGAAAAAUUGCUACAGAUCAUGUUACAGUUCGCUCUAAUGUUGAUACAUAUUUUAUAAAUCAGAGAGUGCAAUUACAGCUGUGUCCUGGAUGGUUAGAUUCCCACACAGCACCUACAUAUUUCCAGAUUUUUGUAGAGAUCUUGUUGAUUUAUUCAUAGUUGUAUACAGGGAUUAGAUUUGUGGUAAAGUAAGCAGACCACUGACCUAUGGAUGACAUAUGACAGAAAGGCCUCUCUUGUUUUGGACCAAUUCUGAUGGCCUUCAGGUUGAGGGCAAUAGUGCCUUACAGGCAGAGCAGGGCAGUGUCCUGUGCCAUGUACCUCAUGUGCCAUGGCAAGGCAGGAGCAACAGGGCCCAAGACUGGAUCUAGACGCGUAAAAAAAAUGUUUUAGGAAAACACAUUGUAAACCUCAAAAUGGGAAACUGUGUUGCCAAAAGACAGGUCUCCACAGCACCAUCUGGUGUCACAGUGUUAUAACGCAUUUAAAACACUUUUUCUUUACUAAUGUAGUUGAGUCAGUCCACAGAUAGAGAGAGCAAAUUGCUCCCACAAAGUUUGGGAGCAGACAGAGACAGUGUACACAAUGUACAUUAAAGGCACAUGGCUUCCCCCAAGGAAACUUCAGAACUGUGAUUUGCCCUCCCCCCUCAAGAGCUGCAAUUCCCAGCAGGCUUAAUAAACUACAGUUCCCAGAA